GACGAACGCUGGCGGCGUGCCUAAUACAUGCAAGUAGAACGCUGAAGGAGGAGCUUGCUUCUCUGGAUGAGUUGCGAACGGGUGAGUAACGCGUAGGUAACCUGCCUGGUAGCGGGGGAUAACUAUUGGAAACGAUAGCUAAUACCGCAUAAGAGUAGAUGUUGCAUGACAUUUGCUUAAAAGGUGCAAUUGCAUCACUACCAGAUGGACCUGCGUUGUAUUAGCUAGUUGGUGGGGUAACGGCUUACCAAGGCGACGAUACAUAGCCGACCUGAGAGGGUGAGCGGCCACACUGGGACUGAGACACGGCCCAGACUCCUACGGGAGGCAGCAGUAGGGAAUCUUCGGCAAUGGACGGAAGUCUGACCGAGCAACGCCGCGUGAGUGAAGAAGGUUGUCGGAUCGGAAAGCUCUGUUGUAAGAGAAGAACGAGUGUGAGAGUGGAAAGUUCACACUGUGACGGUAUCUUACCAGAAAGGGACGGCUAACUACGUG
rnacentral:rRNA from 1 species